rnacentral:lncRNA from 1 species
GGGUAGAGAAGGAAAUAAAAUAGCAGAGGUUGAAGCCUCUGACAACAGUUACCAAUUCAUCACUUACUGUUACCACAGAUUGCAGAGGACUGACAAUGUGGUCCCCACUGAGGUUCCCAAGGGCCAUAUCUCUAAUGACCACUCUACCUUUUAACUUUUCUUUCCCCAGUCAUGCCAUUUAGUCCCACCUUCAGGACCCACCCAACUCCAGGCUUCUGGGUCAAUUCUCUUGGUCAAGAAAUAAGAGCUCAGAAGGAUGAUGGUAUAACAUUGGAGAAAGGGUGUUGGAACCUCACUCACCUGUAUUUGCCUUCCUGUACAACUUGAGCAGAAGUUGGAAAGUGGAGGAUGAAAUGAGGACUGGAAUAAGCAACCUUUCUCACAGUGACAUAGAAUUGGAAAAAGCACUCAGAAAGGCUUGGUAUCAACAUCUUAAUUUUUAUUGGGGAAACUAGAUUUUACAGAUGGGGAAAUGUUAAGUAUUUAAAUGUUUAUUGAGCAUCUGGUAUAUACUAGAUACUGUGCUAAGCAUUGAAGGUACAGCAGAAAACAAUGUAGUUGAGUCCCUUCCUUCUGCAAUUUAGAGCCCCAGAGAGGUGAAAUGACAAAACAAACCCUGAACCAGAAUCCAUAUCUCUUAGGUCCCAAUUGAUUAUCUUUCUUACAUUUUCCAUCUAAUAUGCUUUAGGAACCUAAGAUUUUCUUUAUGAUUUUGGGCAACUCACUAAACAAGUAGGCUUCAGUUUUAUGAAUACAUAAAAAGAAACUUGUAUGUUUCCUUGUUCACUUAUUUAUUUACCAAAUAUUUACUGAGAACUCUCUGUAUCCCAGGCAUAAAGCCCACUGAAUUCACAGAAUAGAACCUUUUUUACUUAGAGCAAAUUUACAUAUGUCAGCAAUGCUUUCCAAAUAGUAAUGAACAGGUAGCUGGAAAUUCCAUGGUUAGCUGUAUUUCCUUUAAUAGGAUUCAAAGUUGGCUUACUCUCCCAGGUACCCGAAUCCCAACCUGGGUUUCUUCUCCCCUUUUUCCUUCCCUCUCUCUUUCUUUUUUCUAACCAUCUGCCAAUUUCCUCUUCCUUCCUUCCUUCCUUCCUUCCUUCCUUCCUUCCCUCUUCUUUUUAUCCAUCAUAUUUCCAUCUGAAGCAUAAACAUUAACACCAGUGAAUUGAUUUACAGUAAGAGAUUUCAAAGUCAUAAAGCCAAAUACUUUCACUGGUGCAGUUAGUAUAUUCUUGCUUUGUAGCUGCUGUACAUUGUAACUUUUAUUUAUUGUUCCUAAAUAAAAACUUUUCCUGUUUCA